rnacentral:tRNA from 1 species
GUCCAGGGGCUGGAAUCGAACCCACGACCUUCCGCUUACCGGGCAGAUGCCAUGUCCACUAGGCUACCCUGGA